rnacentral:piRNA from 1 species
UCCUGUAUUCGAAGAAACGGUGGACCGAGGU